rnacentral:lncRNA from 1 species
GAGAACUUGCUUGGAUGUUCUGUUGAGGAAAGAGAGGUGGAAGGAGCAAAGGGCUCAGCACCCAAAACUCUGGGAAUCACUCAACUUUAGAGAAAGAAAGCAAAAGCACUUUUAAAAUGAGUUAAGUGGAAGACGAACAGACAAAUGAGGUAACUUCUAUAAAGAUGGAGGUUGCUUCUGGCUCAUCAGCCAUCGUUGAUGUGCCACAGACCUGAGGGCACGUGACCCAGGAAUGUGCAUCCAAAGAUAAUACUACCUUCAGAGAACUCUACUUAUAGGCUGUGGUUUUUCAAGAAAAAGGAAAAGAUUCAUAAUUCAUUGAGCUCUUUCCUUGUGAGAAGAAAGGCCACUCUUUUGUGUGCUGAAGUUGGACAACAGUUCCCAAGGAAGCUGAAUUCUAGCUGUUUAUUGUUAUUGGGUUUUGCACUAUGCCCUUUAUGUUGUCAUUAAUCAAUAAAUACGUGUGGAACAAAUGAUUAACUAGA